GUAUGAACAGCAUCAACCUGCUUCUUAUGGAGGUUCAGUGGCAAAAACAACCUCGUGGUCACAGGAAGCUUCUAUGAAACAAAUGGGUUCUUAGUUGCAGCAUCAACAGUGAAAAGCAGGAAAAAUAUGUUUUACUCAAAAUGUUUAAAGUGCAAAAAUGACUGCAACUCAGAGGUAAAUAUUGAAUGUUUGGAGCGGCAAGCCUUCCUGGUGUGUGGUGGUCAGACUGGGAGGUACUGGUCAGAGGGUCAGACUGGGAGGUGCUGGUCAGACUGGGAGGUGCUGGUCAGACUGGGGGGCGCUGGUCAGACUGGGAGGUGCUGGUCAGACUGGGGGGCGCUGGUCAGACUGGGGGGCGCUGGUCAGAGGGACAGACUGGGAGGUGCUGGUCAGACUGGGGGGCGCUGGUCAGACUGGGGGGCGCUGGUCAGACUGGGAGGUGCUGGUCAGACUGGGGGGCGCUGGUCAGACUGGGAGGUGCUGGUCAGACUGGGGGGCGCUGGUCAGAGGGACAGACUGGGAGGUGC